UGAGUCACGGAAGGUCCACAUCGACUCUUUUCUUGGGUCUUGUCCAAUCAAUCCUCGACUGUCUGGGGAUCCGUUUGUUGCGUGGAGCAGUCAGUUGAUCCGUUGUCACCAUGAUGGUCGUCCUCCAAGUCACUGUCGCUUCCUGGAUCGUGUUCUCGUCGGUGAAACCCUGCUUCUCUUCCGCCUAGUUCAGAGCCAGCAUCAUGGUGCAUACUUGAGACGAACUCAGGAACCACGCCUGACCUGCUGGAAUGUUCGUUUGACAACCCAGUCAAAACCAUUCAACUUGACUACUACUCGCACGAUCUUCCAGAAGUCGCCGUGUCAUGUGACGAGACAUGUGACGUGUCUGCUGUUCUGUCCACAAUGUUUCGAGUCAGCAGCCUCCAGCCUCGUGUCCUGACUGUCGAUAUCCUGCAGGUGUCCCCCAGAAACGCUGGCAGGUACCGUUGUCAGGCGAUGCAGGAUGCUACGCAGCUGGCAGUGGAAGGAAAAUGUUCAACAGCCGUUGGAAAAGGUGAAGACAAAGAAGACAGUUAUCUGUACUUCUUGCCAAUUUUGGCCAUAGUGCCCAUCGCUCUGAUCAUCGUCGUAAUCGUCUGCAAAGUAAAGUCUUGCGGAUUUUGGAAUCUCAGUUGCGGCAAGGACGUGAACACUCGACUUCUUCACAAGGUAAAGCAGAACAUCCAGAAGAAGAAAGUCUGACGUCACCACCAGACGAGCAGACACCAGCGGCAAACGAAGGUAGAAAGAUCGACAAGCAGGAAGCCACAACGAUUGGUGCGGCUGCCGAUGACGUCACAACCAGACCAAAGCCAAGCGAACUUGAGAUCUUGCUGCCGAGCGAGGACGAGCAAACAGACCGCGAGAGCUUGGACAAGGAGAAGUGGGGUCACGACCUCCCAGAGCCUGCUGCCGGCCAUCCUCCCCUAAGUCCGCUUGAGAAAGUACAGAAAAGGUUGGAAGGAGAAGGCUAUUCUCCGGAAGUUGUUCGAAAGCGGUCAUUGGUGAACGAAGAAAUAAAGUGCAGAGAAGUCUUUGAUAAAUAAAGUCGGAUACAUGAGCUAAUUCUAGAGAUUUUUUUACCUCCCACCUCUACCCGUCAGAAUGAAUCACAUAACAUAAUAAAUAAAUAACACUUACUUAAUGCUAUAUAAAUAUAUUGUCACUUGUCAAAUUACCUUGUAUUUCUAAGUCGUAUGAAAUCUUUAAAAAUUUCAAAAAUACUUUAGCAGCUGGUGUACAUGAUUUUGUGUAAAAUUUUGCUUAUAAAAUUAUCAUAUCGUAAAUAAUUUUGUAAAAAUGUUUUAAUGUAAGCCCAGUCUUUCAGGAAUGAUACCAUUUGGCAAAAAAUGCGUUUCCCUCACUCCUCAAGGAUCAAAUGGACAAAGUUGCGUCCCUUAACUAUCACCUCCCCAUACCCCUUUUACUUCAUGCUGUAAACUGGAACUAGUUCUGUGAAACAGUGAUCAUUCUUCUUAAAUAUAUUUCUAAUCUGGAGGCUUUUUUUCCGCUCCAGUUUUCAAGAAUAAGAUCCUUCAUCUUAAUACUAAUUUAUAUGGAUAAAAUUCUUGAACUCUCUAAGAACCACAAUUUAUAUAACAUCUUAAAGUGCUUUAAAACACCCUCCCAAAGAGGGGAACUUAUCUGACAUUAAAUCCUCCCUCUGCUUUACAUAAUCUCGUUUUCCUUUGUUUCACAUAAUCACACAACCGUUCAACAACCUGGGGCUGUAGUUAUGAAGUGAGGGAGGUGAACACUGCUUUAUAAGUUCACAAACAAGACGAUUGUCCUUGUGUCCCCCAGCGACAAAGAUGAUGGAUUGUGUUUGUCUUUACCUAAUGAUCUGAUGUAACAGUUCAGUUUUCAGUAGCCUUGUAACCUUUUAUCUACCAGGGUAUUAUUUUUAUUUUACAAAAAGCCUCCCAUUGAAAGUCCGCAUUGUUACAAUUGUUGUACUUACUUUGUCCUCACUCUUAUUGUUAGUUAUUGUAUGUUAGCUUUUCUGGCUGUUAAGGUGUCUCAGUAAACAAGGAAGCUUACUUUAAUUUUAUUGGGUUUUGUGAUUAAGAUGUGUUCAAGUGAAUAUUGUUAGUGAUUUUAUAUAGCACUUGCACAUCUGACUGAUGAUUGUAUGCAGAACUUCAUAACCAGACACUUGCAGCAGGUCUAAGCAUAUAUUUACCUAUGUUUGUUUACUUGUGUAAUCCUUUUUUAAAGCGCUUAGUCAAGUGUUAUAAAUCUGAACUAUAUUUUUUUCAAACGAAGCAUUUUAUUUCGUUUUUGAAGCUAUGCAAAAUAAAACAAUUUAUUUUGAUAAAAAAAAAA